CUGCUAGCUAAGGGGUGCUCGCUGAUUGGCGGGCUGAGAUUAGACCCAUAGAACCUGAAACGGGUAAUGCCGGCGCAGGGAUUCCGCAUCUUUUUUCC
rfam:Prevotella sp. CAG:1320 genomic scaffold, scf76